GAACCUAUCUAGGGCAUAUGAGGCCUUUGACUGCAGCUUCUGAGGCAGAGUCUGCAAUGAGAGAUGUCUGCAGAACGCUAAGACUAGGCAGAGGUAUCAAAUAGCAUGCGCAGUGCAUACUUCUGGAAAGAUGGGAGGUUGCUGUGCAAACGUACAUAGUAUUCAAACAGCUGACAUCUUAAGGGUGUCUCCUUUUCUUUAGACAUGUCACAAUGUCCAAAUAUCAGAUACACCCCUCUCCUGCCCAGUAGCCUUGCCUAAUGUCAUGUGCCCUGCUAGGACACAACCUCACUCUGGCCUGCUUCUUGCUCUUCAACCCCAUCAUCACACAUGUGUAUGUGUGCAUGCACACUCACUCAUACACACACCCACACUGCUGCUCUACUUUCCAUCCUUGGUCUCAGUCCUUUCCCUUCCUCACCUGGUCCCACUUCCUCCCUUGGGUACCUUUUACUUACCUCUAAAGGUAAAGGGACAUGUUAUUUUUUACCUUAGAAAAUGGAAGUCCAAGCUGCAUGGGGAUCUAGUAGGUUGUUCUGGCCCCUCAGUAGGAAACCAUGCUUGCAUAAUGCUUCCUUUUAAGAGGAGAGAACUAGGGCAGUCCUUUACUUCAGAGUAAGUUAGGGUCAGCCAAAAUUAGAACCCAGACACAAAGUAAUUGGUUGUCACAUUAUCUGUAAUAGCAAAAAAUUGGACACGAUCUAGAUGUUAGGCAAUAUGAACAGGGUUAAGAAAAUUGUUGCACAUUAUCUCCAAGGAAUAUUAUGCAGCCAUUAAAAAUGAUUAUUAUGAAGACAAUGUUGUGACAUAGAAAAGGCUUAUAAAUUCGAUGGUAAGUGAAAAGGCCAAUUGUAAGACUGUAAAUAUACUGUAAUCACAGCAAUCUAAAAAUAAAUGCACACCUGUGGCCAAGGCCUUGGAGGCAAUGUGGGAUAGAAAAUGAGCUCUUAUGGACUAGGAUGCAGGGAUUAUGGGUGAUUUUUUGUUUGUAAACAUCCUGUAAUGUUGUCUAAUGGUGUUAUAAUAUUGUUGUUCCAGUAAAUAACUACUGAGGAAAAUUAAGGCAAGUCUGAAGCCUUUUGCUGGUUACAGCUGCCUUGGACGAUGCUGUACACACGGCGGCUACUUACUGUCUAGUUUAUGGUCACUGUCAUGAGUCACCGCCCCUCUCCUCUACCUGAAAAAGAUUCUGGUUGCUCCUCGGUGUUCUCCAUCUCAAAAGCUGAUUGUCGAAUAUUUACCGGCACACCAUUGAGCUGAUCCCUCUUCUUGGAACGUCCUUUUCUAGACUCUUCACUGUGCCCUGCUUCAAUAUUCACUUCAAGCAACAUACCAUGCAGGCAGCUUUCCCUUACUCUCCUUUGCCCCUUCCUGCAUUCAUGCCUCCUCUCUAUAAGCUCCUUAGGGGUAGCAGUCAUGUCUGAGUCUCCCUGCGUUCAUGGUGCAUAGAACUGUUCCAGGUGCUGAGUAUGUGUUCAGGGAAUGUUCGUUAAAACUGAAUGAAAUUUCUGAUACAGCUGGAAAACCUCCAUGCCUAUAGCCCCCGUGUGUCCUGGUGAGCUGGUUUGGGAGAGUUAAACCCUAGGGACAGCUAGAGCAGGAAUUAGGAAAUUUUCAGACUGUCUGACUGAAAAGUGGCCAGAUUUACAGCUCAGCUCAAAGAGCGCGUGCCACCAUCCUCUUUCUUGCUCAGGCUUCAGCUUUUCCCAACAUCUCUCAGCGACCCUGAAUGGCGUACAGGCUGCUAUAGGGAGUCAGUUCUCCUGCUGAGGAAAUGAUCACUCACACCACAUACCUGAACAAACAGCUGUUACAGAAACCAUUAUGCCAGAGGCAAGGAUUAUAGAAAAGUGUCCCAUUAGAUGGCAAAUGGAAAUUUGUUUUCCUUUUGCAAUAAUCUCUUAUAACAUUUAUCACUGCACAAGCAAGUUGGUACUUGAAGGAUACAUCUAGAGUCAUUCUAAAUAGAGAACUUCAGAUUUCAGGCUUCCCUGAAGGAGGAGAGGUAAAAGCCCUUUGGAAAGGAGAGCAGAGACAUGUCAAGUCCUGCCAAAAAGAUACCAGCGUGACAGAGAAAAAACAUGAGAUCUGGGGAUGAUGCCUGCCUCUCUGCUUCUCAGAGCAGAACCCAGACACACAAACACAUUUUUUUUUCUCAAGGUAUUAGCAAAAUCCUGACUUCUUAGUGGGAAAUGGGGGAGGCAGAUGAGAUUAGCUUCUGGUUCAGGAAGGAAGGCUACCUUUUGGACAAGUUUUUGUGAAGACUCUGUACCCUCACAAAGGGCAAAGAAUGGCUGGCUUCAGAGAUCCAUAGGAAGGAGCAUACAAAAAAGAGAAAGAGAAAAUAUAGCCUAGUGUCCCUCUGACUGAGGCAAGAAGAGUACUGCUAAAGUCCCCACUCAAAGCUCAAGACAGCCUAAGGCUCAGGAGAAUGGGUGAAAUAGAUUUUUGGUUUCUCUGGUCUCAAGAGAGGCUGUGGCAUCCCAGAGACCUGGGUUUUCAUUCUAGCCCGGUCAUACAUCCACUAGCUGGGUGAUUAGGGAUGAAUUAAUUGGCUUCGCUGAGCCUUAGUUUUCUCUGCUUUGUAGGCACAAUGAUAUCUUCCACACAAGAUGGUGAAAAUCAAGUAGAUGUGAUGGUGGAUUUUAUGUGUCAACCUGGCUAGGCUAUGGUGCCCUGUUUUUGAUCGAACACCUGUCUAAAUGUUGGUGUGAGGUUUAUUUUUUUCACACGUGAUUAACAUUUACAGUGAAUAGACUUUGAAUAAAGUAGAUUAUCCUCCAUAUUGUGAGUGAGUCCCAUCCACUCAUUUGAAGGCCUUAAGAGCAAAGACUAAAGUAUCCCAAAUAAGAUGGAAUUCUACUUUCUAGCCUUCAACAUAGAAACUCUGCCUGGGUUUCCAUCCUGCCGGCCUUUGCUAUGGAUUUGCCAGUCCUCACAAUCACUUUAGCCAAUUUCCUAAAGUCUCUCCCUACACACACACACACACACACACACACACACACACACACACACACACACACAUCUUGUUGGUUUUGUUUCUCUGGAGAACCCUGUGUGAUACAGUAGAUGACAAGUAUAAAGCACCUGACAUGAACCCAAGCACAGAGAUUGCACCCAAGGCAUAGUAAGGACUCUGCCACCUAAUAAAUUAUUCAUUUCUGACCAUCUUUACCAUCUAAUUUGAUAGCUUCUAAUGUUGUCUUAACUAGCUUGCCUUUGCUAAUUAUGCAGGUCAUCCAAUAGGCCCCCACCUUAAAUACUUUCAGUUUGAUUAUAGGCUCUAAUUGUACAUCUACUUCCAUGGAUCUUAAAACUGGAUGCACAUUACAAUCAUCUGGAAAGCUCUUUGAAAUUAUCAGUACCUAGACUCCAUCCUCUGAUAUUUUUAUUGAAUUGGUGUGGGAUGGAUUCAGGACAUCCAUAGAUGUUAAAAGCUCCCUGAUGACUCUAAUGUACAGCCAGUGUUGAGAGCCAGUGAUAUAGAAGAUGCCAAGGUAUACAACACUAAUUUGCCAGAAGCAAAGGCAAAUUUGACAAGGAUGCCUCCUUUCAUUCAAGCAUUCUAUUGCCAAAUAAGUGCUCUUCCCCAUCAGUGAAGGUACUACCCUCACCCAGUGCCCAAGCCAGAAUACUAGGAAUCAUCAUCAAUUCCUCUCUUUCCUUUACCCUUCUAUCCAAUUCAUCAGUGUCCAAAAAUCCUGCAUCUGCUUCCUUCUCUCCAAUUCCACUGCUCUUCCUAGUCCAAGCUCCACUAUCUCUUUCCUGGGACACUGUAUACUUCUGUACGGUCUAAAUCCAAUCAGGACGGUGAAACUAUACAGUCAUUUAAACAGGAAAGUUUAAUAUAAAGAAUUAUUAACUAGCAGUUUUGUAAGACAAAAAGAUCAAGAGAGCUCUAACACAACAAUUUGACCAUACUUAACACUACUGAAUUAUAUACUUAAAAUGGUUAAGAUGGUCAAUUUUUAGAUUAUAUGUAUUUUACUACAGUGAAAGAAGCCAGACACAGAGGAGCACAUAUUCUAGAAAUGUCCAGAAAAGGCUAAUCUAUAGAGAAAGUAGAUUAGUGGCUCUCCAGGGCUAGGGAUGGGGAUGAGUGACUUCUCAUGGGCACAAUGUUUCUUAGACUAUGGAGAUGGUUUCAUAACUUUGUAAAUUUGUUUUAAAAUCAUUGAACUGUACACUGAAAACUAGUUUUGUGGUAUGUAAAUUUUACUCUAAUAAAGCUAUUUUGUAAAAUAAUUAUUAAUUAUAACAAGUGGCUGGAUUAAUAAGGGAUUGGCUAGGAACGAGUAAAAAUAACUCUAAAGAACAUAGGAAUCACAGAUAUAAGGAACCUCUAAGAGUGUCAUAGAGUACCCAGUGAAAAACACUGUCAUGAAUAUAAAUUAGUAUAGCCACUAUGGGAAACAGUAUGGAGGUUCCUUAAAAAAAAACUAAAAAUAAAACUACCAUAUGAUCCAGCAAUCUCACUGCUUGGUAUAUAUCCAAAAGAAAGGAACUCAGUAUAUUGGAGAGAGAUCUGCACUCACAUGUUUACUGCAGCAUUAUUCACAAUAGAAUGUGAAUCAACCUAAGUGUCCAUCAAUGGAUGAAUGUAUAAAGAAAAUAUGAGAUAUAUACAUAAACACACACAUGCACACACACACAAAAUGGAAUACACUUCAGCCUUUAAAAAGAAGGAAAUCCUCUCAUUUGCCACAACCACAGAUGACCUGGAGGACAUUAUACUAAACAAAAUAAGUCAGGCACAGAAAGACAAAUACCACAUGAUCUCACAUACGUAUAGAAUCUAAAAAAGUUUAACUCACAGAAGCAGAGAGUAGAAUGGUGGUUACCAGAGGCUGGUGGAGGGUGGGGGGAAAGGGGAGAUGUUGGUCAAAGGGUAUAAAAGUUAGACAGGAGGAAUAAGUUCAGAUUUAUUGUACAACGUGGUGAUCACAGUUAAUAACAAUGUAUUGUAUACUUGAAA
rnacentral:lncRNA from 1 species